GAUGAACGCUGGCGGCGUGCCUAAUACAUGCAAGUCGAACGGACGGACGAUAAGCUUGCUUCUCUGAUGUUAGCGGCAGGCGGGUGAGUAACGCGUGGAUCACCUCCCUAUAAUUCUGGGAUAACUUCGUGACACCGGCUCUAAUACCAGAUAAUAUUUUGAACCGCAUGGUUCAAAAGUGAAAGACGGUCUUGCUGUCACUUAUCGAUGGAUCCGCGCUGCAUUAGCUAGUUGGUAAGGUCACGGCUUACCAAGGCAACGAUGCAUAGCCGACCUGAGAGGCGGAUCGGCCACACGGGAACGGAGACACGGACAAGACUCCUACGGGAGGCAGCAGUAGGGAAUCUUCCGCAAUGGGCGAAAGCCUGACGGAGCAACGGCGCGUGAGUGAUGAAGGUCUUCGGAUCGUAAAGCCCUGUUAUUGGGGAAGAACAGAUGUGGAAGGAAACGAGGACAUCUUGACGGUACCGAAUAAGAAAGCACCGGCUAACUACGUG
rnacentral:rRNA from 1 species